CUAGGACUCCUACGGGAGGCAGCAGUGGGGAAUAUUGCACAAUGGGCGCAAGCCUGAUGCAGCCAUGCCGCGUGUAUGAAGAAGGCCUUCGGGUUGUAAAGUGCUUUCAGCAGUGAGGAAGGUGGGUAUGUUAAUAGCAUACUCAUUUGACGUUAGCUGCAGAAGAAGCACCGGCUAACUCCGUGCCAGCAGCCGCGGUAAUACGGAGGGUGCGAGCGUUAAUCGGAAUUACUGGGCGUAAAGCGCAUGCAGGUGGUUUGUUAAGUCAGAUGUGAAAGCCCGGGGCUCAACCUCGGAAUUGCAUUUGAAACUGGCAAACUAGAGUACUGUAGAGGGGGUAGAAUUUCAGGUGUAGCGGUGAAAUGCGUAGAGAUCUGAAGGAAUACCGGUGGCGAAGGCGGCCCCCUGGACAGAUACUGACACUCAGAUGCGAAAGCGUGGGGAGCAAACAGGAUUAGAUACCCUGGUAG
rnacentral:rRNA from 1 species